rnacentral:rRNA from 1 species
GAUUUGUUGGGCGGCGAGGGCGGACGGGUGAGUAAUGCCUGGGAAUAUGCCUUGAUGUGGGGGAUAACUAUUGGAAACGAUAGCUAAUACCGCAUAAUGCCUUCGGGCCAAAGAGGGGGACCUUCGGGCCUCUCGCGUCAAGAUUAGCCCAGGUGGGAUUAGCUAGUUGGUGAGGUAAAGGCUCACCAAGGCGACGAUCCCUAGCUGGUCUGAGAGGAUGAUCAGCCACACUGGAACUGAGACACGGUCCAGACUCCUACGGGAGGCAGCAGUGGGGAAUAUUGCACAAUGGGCGCAAGCCUGAUGCAGCCAUGCCGCGUGUGUGAAGAAGGCCUUCGGGUUGUAAAGCACUUUCAGUCGUGAGGAAGGUAGUGUAGUUAAUAGCUGCAUUAUUUGACGUUAGCGACAGAAGAAGCACCGGCUAACUCCGUGCCAGCAGCCGCGGUAAUACGGAGGGUGCGAGCGUUAAUCGGAAUUACUGGGCGUAAAGCGCAUGCAGGUGGUUUGUUAAGUCAGAUGUGAAAGCCCGGGGCUCAACCUCGGAACAGCAUUUGAAACUGGCAGACUAGAGUACUGUAGAGGGGGGUAGAAUUUCAGGUGUAGCGGUGAAAUGCGUAGAGAUCUGAAGGAAUACCAGUGGCGAAGGCGGCCCCCUGGACAGAUACUGACACUCAGAUGCGAAAGCGUGGGGAGCAAACAGGAUUAGAUACCCUGGUAGUCCACGCCGUAAACGAUGUCUACUUGGAGGUUGUGGCCUUGAGCCGUGGCUUUCGGAGCUAACGCGUUAAGUAGACCGCCUGGGGAGUACGGUCGCAAGAUUAAAACUCAAAUGAAUUGACGGGGGCCCGCACAAGCGGUGGAGCAUGUGGUUUAAUUCGAUGCAACGCGAAGAACCUUACCUACUC